GUGGGGAAUAUUGCGCAAUGGGGGAAACCCUGACGCAGCAAUACCGCGUGAGUGAAGAAGGUUUUCGGAUCGUAAAACUCUUUUAUUGGGGAAGAAGAAGUGACGGUACCCAAUGAAGAAGUCCCGGCUAACUACGUGCCAGCAGCCGCGGUAAUACGUAGGGGACAAGCGUUGUCCGGAAUCACUGGGCGUAAAGGGCGCGUAGGCGGUUUUAUAAGUCAGAUGUGAAAGGUACCGGCUCAACCGGUGACGUGCAUUUGAAACUGUAAGACUUGAGUACUGGAGAGGCAAGUGGAAUUCCUAGUGUAGCGGUGAAAUGCGUAGAUAUUAGGAGGAACACCGGUGGCGAAGGCGGCUUGCUGGACAGAUACUGACGCUGAGGUGCGAAAGCGUGGGGAGCGAACAGGAUUAGAUACCCCAGUAGUCC
rnacentral:rRNA from 1 species